UACGAAGGGCCCAAGCGUUAUCCGGAUUUAUUGGGCUUAAAGGGUGCGUAGGCGGACUAUUAAGUCAGUGGUGAAAGCCCCAAGCCUAACUUGGGAACUGCCAUUGAUACUGAUGGUCUUGAGUACAUUUGAGGUGGGCGGAAUGUGUCAUGUAGCGGUGAAAUGCUUAGAUAUGACACAGAACACCGAUUGCGAAGGCAGCUCACUAAACUGUAACUGACGCUGAGGCACGAAAGCGUGGGGAGCAAACAGG
rnacentral:rRNA from 1 species